AACGAACGCUGGCGGCGCGCCUAAUACAUGCAAGUCGAGCGAGAAGACGUAGCAAUACGUUUGUAAAGCGGCGAACGGGUGAGGAAUACAUGGGUAACCUACCCUCGAGUGGGGAAGUAACUAGCCGAAAGGUUAGCUAAUACCGCGUACGCUCCUUGGACUUCGGUUCAGGGAGGGAAAGACGAUACCGUGGGUAGUCGCGCUCUUGGAUGGGCUCAUGUCCUAUCAGCUUGUUGGUGAGGAACGGCUCACCAAGGCUUCGACGGGUAGCUGGUCUGAGAGGACGAUCAGCCACACUGGCACUGCGACACGGGCCAGACUCCUACGGGAGGCAGCAGUAAGGAAUAUUGCGCAAUGGGCGAAAGCCUG
rnacentral:rRNA from 1 species